AUUAUUUUCAGAUUCCAGAGUCUAACUUUGUGUCUCUAUACCUCUAGCUCCUCUUCUCCACAGGUUUUUGUUCAACUCAACUGGGAAUCAGACUGUUCCACUCUGCUUUGACUUCAGUGGAGCUAUAAUCCUUAAACUAUUUCACCACCCCAGCAGAGACCUGUCUGUUAAUGGUGAGCUAGAUUCAAUUGCAAACGGAGGUUUCAGCAAAAUUUUUAUUCACCUCAAAACUCACCAGCAUGUUGAGGUUGACGCUGAAUCACAGA